GGGGGCGUAAUGGUUUCGACAGGGAUUCUGACAUAUGAUAAGCGUGGCGGGCCGGCUAAUCCCGUAUAAUGGCCAACUUAAAAAAUAAACGACAACAAUACAGUUGCUAUGGCUGCCUAAAGUGGUUUAAGCCUUCGGGCUUA
rnacentral:tmRNA from 1 species